rnacentral:rRNA from 1 species
UACGGGGGGAGCAAGCGUUGUUCGGAUUUACUGGGCGUAAAGGGCGGGUAGGCGGCCACCGCAAGUCAGUUGUGAAAUCUCUGGGCUUAACCCAGAAAGGUCAACUGAUACUGCGGGGCUAGAGUGCAGAAGGGGCAACUGGAAUUCUCGGUGUAGCGGUGAAAUGCGUAGAUAUCGAGAGGAACACCUGCGGCGAAGGCGGGUUGCUGGGCUGAUACUGACGCUGAACUGCGAAAGCUAGGGGAGCGAACGGG